UAUGUUUUUACAGUUAUGUUUACUAAUGCAGUUAGACUAAUAUUAGGCCUAAAAUUAUUGAUCUGGAGUGGAAUUGAAUCACAAAUUCUGGAAUUGUUGGCAUCGGGAUCUGCUUGAGGAAAUGCGGUUGAAUGAACAUUUAUCCAAAAUUUGAAAUCGGUGAUUGAAUUUCUUCAAACGAAAAAGGAAACGUUUUCCUUUGGAAAGCAAGAGGAGUGACUUUCCGAUACGUCUCAAAUAUAAGAAAAAAUUGUCAAUCAGUGCUUGAAAGUAUCCAAUGUAAGUGAGAAACAUGUGUCGCAAGGUACGGCAUUCAGGCGUGUCUCAAAUAUAAGCAAGCUGCGUUCUGGUUGGAAAGAUCAAAGGACAGUCGACAACUGAAUAUGUACGUUGAAGAACAUUGGAAUGAUUUGCCGUACCAUCUUAAUUAUAUAAACAGUGUAUUUUAAUUUUUUAUAUAACCAUCUUUCUACCCGA